AGAGCAUCUAUGUGUGACCUAAAGGACUGCUGCCAGAGGGCAAUCAAUGCCUGCCUGGAUGAUUCAGACUCAUUAGGGAUGCAGCAAUUCUACUGCUGCCUUCCAUUUUCAGAGAGGACUCAUCCUUUCUAUACACUCUACUGGAGGAGCCAAGCGUGCCUACUCCAGCAAUCAUGCUCCAUAACACACACGAGGGGAACCCUUUGCAGGCACAAAGGAUAACCCUAUACCUGGAUGGUAUACAGGUUUUGACUGAGG